CUCUGAAUCAUCUACACACACACUAGAUCCCUAUAUACACUCUGAAUCCGUUAUAUACGCACGCUCACUAGAUCUCCCAUACGUAGUCUGGGUCCUUCACACACACACACACACACACAGUCUGGAUCCCCUAUACGCACACUAGAUUCCUUGUAAGCAAACCCAUACAUUCCCUGAACACACACACACACACACUAUAGCCUGUAUACACACACACACACAGACACACACACAC